GACGCGGUAGAGGAGCGUCGUGUAAGCCGACGAAGGUGGAUCGAGAGGUCUGCUGGAGGUAUCACGAGUGCGAAUGCUGACAUGAGUAACGACAAGGGGAGUGAAAAACUCCCCCGCCGGAAGACCAAGGGUUUCUGUUCGACGCUAAUCGGAGCAGAGUGAGUCGGCCCCUAAGGCGAGGCCGAAAGGCGUAGUCGAUGGGAAACGGGUCAAUAUUCCCGUACCUCACUGUAUUGCGAUGGGGGGACGAAGAAGGCUAGGUGAGCCAGGCGUUGGUUGUCCUGGUGAAAGUCAGUAGGCUGGGGGAUCAGGCAAAUCCGGUUCCCCAAGGCCGAGAGACGAGACGAACAGACUACGGUCUGGAAGUCAUCGAUGCCACGCUUCCAGGAAAAGCCUCUAAGCUUCAGAUACAGUGGGACCGUACCCCAAACCGACACAGGUGGUCAGGUAGAGAAUACCCAGGCGCUUGAGAGAACUCGGGUGAAGGAACUAGGCAAAAUGGUGCCGUAACUUCGGGAGAAGGCACGCCGGACUAGGGUGACGGGACUUGCUCCCUGAGCCUGAACCGGUCGAAGAUACCAGGUGGCUGCAACUGUUUAUUAAAAACACAGCACUCUGCAAACGCGCAAGCGGACGUAUAGGGUGUGACGCCUGCCCGGUGCCGGAAGGUUAAGUGAUGGUGUUAGCGCAAGCGAAGCUCCUGAUCGAAGCCCCGGUAAACGGCGGCCGUAACUAUAACGGUCCUAAGGUAGCGAAAUUCCUUGUCGGGUAAGUUCCGACCUGCACGAAUGGCGUAAUGAUGGCCACGCUGUCUCCACCCGAGACUCAGUGAAAUUGAAAUCGCAGUGAAGAUGCUGUGUACCCGCGGCUAGACGGAAAGACCCCGUGAACCUUUACUAUAGCUUCACACUGGACGCUGAUGUUGCUUGUGUAGGAUAGCUGGGAGGCUUGGAAACCGUGGCGCCAGCCACGGUGGAGCCAACCUUGAAAUACCAGCCUGGCAUCAUUGGCGUUCUAACUCAGGUCCGUGAUCCGGAUCGAGGACCGUGUGUGGUGGGUAGUUUGACUGGGGCGGUCUCCUCCCAAAGCGUAACGGAGGAGCACGAAGGUACCCUCAGCACGGUUGGAAAUCGUGCAUUGAGUGCAAGAGCAUAAGGGUGCUUAACUGCGAGACAGACACGUCGAGCAGGUACGAAAGUAGGUUCUAGUGAUCCGGUGGUUCUGUAUGGAAGGGCCAUCGCUCAACGGAUAAAAGGUACUCCGGGGAUAACAGGCUGAUACCGCCCAAGAGUUCACAUCGACGGCGGUGUUUGGCACCUCGAUGUCGGCUCAUCACAUCCUGGGGCUGAAGUCGGUCCCAAGGGUAUGGCUGUUCGCCAUUUAAAGUGGUACGCGAGCUGGGUUUAGAACGUCGUGAGACAGUUCGGUCCCUAUCUGCCGUGGGCGUUGGAUGUUUGAGAAGUGCUGCUCCUAGUACGAGAGGACCGGAGUGGACGCACCUCUGGUGUUCCGGUUGUCACGCCAGUGGCAUUGCCGGGUAGCUAUGUGCGGACGGGAUAACCGCUGAAAGCAUCUAAGCGGGAAGCCCCCUUCAAGAUGAGACAUCCCCGAGGCCU
rnacentral:rRNA from 1 species